CCUACGGGAGGCAGCAGUGAGGAAUAUUGGUCAAUGGACGAGAGUCUGAACCAGCCAAGUAGCGUGAAGGAUGACUGCCCUAUGGGUUGUAAACUUCUUUUAUAUGGGAAUAAAACGUUCCACGUGUGGGAUUUUGUAUGUACCAUAUGAAUAAGGAUCGGCUAACUCCGUGCCAGCAGCCGCGGUAAUACGGAGGAUCCGAGCGUUAUCCGGAUUUAUUGGGUUUAAAGGGAGCGUAGGUGGAUUGUUAAGUCAGCUGUGAAAGUUUGCGGCUCAACCGUAAAAUUGCAGUUGAAACUGGCAGUCUUGAGUACAGUAGAGGUGGGCGGAAUUCGUGGUGUAGCGGUGAAAUGCUUAGAUAUCACGAAGAACUCCGAUUGCGAAGGCAGUUCACUGGACUGCAACUGACACUGAGGCUCGAAAGUGUGGGUAUCAAACAGGAUUAGAUACCCCAGUAGUC
rnacentral:rRNA from 1 species